CCAUGCGUACUAGUAUCACUGGCAGUCAAUGUCUUGCAAAAAUAAUUAGUGGGCUGCUUGCUUGGCAUUCCCAAUUCCAUGGGAAGAAAUGUAUCCUUCUGCUCUUGCGGGGUCAAAGGCUGUAAAGUCAUCUGGGCAUACACUUCAUCCGUUUCAACAUCUGCAUGCAUAGUGACAUUGUGGAGUUGGCAUAUCAACUGGGGCGGCAAGCUUGGGUAAUUGGGUAUGUGCCCAUCAACUUCUUUGUUAGUAGUGGCAGCCACCUGCUCACUAUGUCCCUGAGGGAAGUAGACCACUCGGCUACCCAUGGUUGGUAGGGACACGAGUGGUCCAGCGCAGGCAUGCCAUAGCUCCGAAUUUAAACAUUUCUUCUCGCCUUCAUGACCCUGCUGACCCAACCCUGACGUUGAAAGCUUCAUCUUCCACUCUUUUUUUUCUUUCUCCUUUUGUUUUUCUAUAUAUAUAUUAUUUAUAAAUUGUCUUAAUUAAUAAAAUAUUAGCUAUAUAAAACCCUCACUCACAGCUACCAUAGUAAUAAUAGUAAUCAUCUUCCAAUCCAACAAAAAACC
rnacentral:misc_RNA from 1 species